rnacentral:sRNA from 1 species
GGGCUGGUCGAAAGACCCGGGUCCACCAAGCGGCGGGGGUGACCCCC